rnacentral:rRNA from 1 species
GCAGUCGAACGAAGUAGCAAUACUUAGUGGCAGACGGGUGAGUAACAUGUGGGUAUCUACCCUUUGGCCUGGAAUAACACGAGGAAACUUGUGCUAAUACCGGAUAAGUCUUUACGGAGAAAGCUUUAUGCACCAUUGGAUGAGCCCGCACUUGAUUAGUUUGUUGGUAGGGUAAUGGCCUACCAAGACUAUGAUCAAUAGCUGAUUUGAGAGGAUGAUCAGCCACAUUGGGACUGAGACACGGCCCAAACUCCUACGGGAGGCAGCAGUGGGGAAUCUUGCACAAUGGAGGAAACUCUGAUGCAGCGAUGCCGCGUGAGUGAAGAAGGCCUUUGGGUUGUAAAGCUCUUUCGUCGGGGAAGAAAAUGACUGUACCCGAAUAAGAAGGUCCGGCUAACUUCGUGCCAGCAGCCGCGGCAAUACGAAGGGACCUAGCGUAGUUCGGAAUUACUGGGCUUAAAGAGUUCGUAGGUGGUUGAGAAAGUUGGUGGUGAAAUCCCAGAGCUUAACUCUGGAACUGCCAUCAAAACUUUUCAGCUAGGGUAUGAUAGA